rnacentral:SRP_RNA from 1 species
AAUGGGUCUCCCUGAUGGCGAUGCGUUGUGAACCCGGUCAGGUCCGGAAGGAAGCAGCCGCAGCAGCGAAAUCGGGUGUCAGGACCAGGCGCAUGGGA